rnacentral:lncRNA from 1 species
NNNNNNNNNNNNNNNNNNNGGGAACCGGGGUUGGAUGAGGAUGGUCGAGAGGUGGUGGGAUGUGGUUCUGAUGGGGCUGGAUCCCGAAACACAGCUCCGUGGUGGAUACGGGAACCGGGGUUGGUCAAGGAUGGUUGAGAGGUGGUGGGACAUGGUUCUGAUGGGGCUGGAUCCUGAAACACAGCUCCAUGGUGGAUACGGGAACCGGGGUUGGUCAAGGAUGGUCAAGAGGUGGUGGGACAUGGUUCUGAUGGGGCUGGACCCCGAAAUGUGGCUCCGUGGCGGAUACGGGAACCAGGGUUGGUCAAGGAUGGUCGGGAGGUGGUGGGACGUGGUUCUGAUGGGGCUGGAUCCCGAAACGUGGCUCCGUGGUGGAUACAGGAACUGGGGUUGGUCAAGGAUGGUCGGGAGGUGGUGGGAUGUGGUUCCGAUGGGGCUGGAUCCUGAAACAUGGCUCUGUGGUGGCUGUGGGAACCAGGGUUGGUCAAGGAUGGUCGAGAGGUGGUGGGACAUGGUUCUGAUGGGGCUGGAUCCCGAAACGUGGCUCCGUGGUGGCUACGGGAACCAGGGUUGGUCAAGGAUGGUCGAGAGGUGGUGGGACGCAGCUCUGAUGGGGUUGGACCCUGAAACGUGGCUCCAUGGUGGCUGUGGGAACCAGGGUUGGACGAGGAUGGUCGAGAGGUGGUGGGAUGUGGCUCUGAUGGGGCUGGACCCAAAAACGUGUCUCCAUGGUAGCUGCAGGAACCGAGGCUGGUCAAGGAUGGUCGAGAGGAGCCGGGAUGGAGCUGGACCCUGAAACACGGCUCCUCACUGGGUGCAGGAGCUGGGGUUGGUCGAGGAUGGUCAAGAGGGCACCAGGACGCAUCUCCAAUGGACCAGACCUCAAAAGGUGACUCCACGGUGAGCGCAGAAACCAGGGUUGGACAAGGACGGUCGAGAGGUGCUGGGACGCAUCUCCAAGAGGUCGGACCCCAAAACGUGGCUCCUCACCAGGUGCAGAAACCAACGUCGAACACGG